ACUCCCAGAAAGAAGAUCAGAAUGAUUGGUCAUUUCAAGAGGAGCCGUCUUACUCACACUGCUGCUGGGUAAACAAGCCUGGGAACUUGAACUGGAAAUAUCAUGUGAAAGAAUAAUGUGGUAAAAGCCAAUCAAACAUCUGUCAACAAAACUAAUGAAGAAAAUGAAACACAUAAGGCAAAACAAGUCAUGCAAAGAUAAGCCAGAUGGAUAUUAUCAAGAGAGAGAUCAGUGAACUUGUGAGCAAUAUUUGUUGAUAGUUUCUAGGUUGGGAGCACUAAACAAGGAGAGGAAUGGUGUGAGGAAAGCAAUGAAAGAAGAUGGAAACCUUCACAAAAGCUGCCAGAAAUACGACCAAAAGAGAAGAAAAGGCCAAAUCCAAAAGAUAAAUUGAUUGCAGUGAAUCAUUUGAGUAAAUCUACUCUGAAACUACCAUGGCAUGAUAUUUACAAGAAUGACACUGAUAAACAUCUUCUGGCAGAGGCCUGCAAACCCUAUAACAUUUUAGCUACAACUUUCCCUAUCACUUUUAAGUGACUGAAAAUAACCUGUCAGAAAUUAGACUCAGAUGUCAGACAUCUGGAAAAUGGAGAUUUGUGGCAUUCUUUGUCAGAUUUUUUUUUUGAUCUUUUGAAGCAGGUUGAAAAUUAAUGUGAUGUUAGUGAAAACUAGGCAAGAAUCAAAUAAUCCAUUUUACCAGAAUUCUAAGAAACACGUUUAUUUAUCCUGAUAAAAAUUUUGGCGACUGUGAGAAAUAAAACGUAUUUUUAUCGUUAAAAUAAUCCUCUGCAUAAAAAUGAACAUAGCAGAGGUACAGAGAUAAACAGAUUCCAUUUAAAAUAAGUAGAUUGGAUAAACUACCUAAUAAAUCACUUUGUUGCUGAAUUGG